AGAGAGAACAAGAGUAUCUCAAUUACAAAACCUAGAAACAAAAUAAGAGAAAUUACAACAAGAGAAUAGGGAUAGAGAGAAGAACCAAAGUGUAGCAAUCAUCAAUUGAAGGUAGAAGUAGAAGGAGACUUGAAUUAAACCCAGAACUAUGAGAUCCUAAUCAAACCCUAAUUCUUAAUCCUAAUUCUAGAGAGAAGAGAGAGCUUCUCUCUCUAACUCUAACUACUUCUAAAACUAAACUAUGACUAAUGAUUAAAAGUAUGUAAAAUAUGAAA